AAAAAACUAGUUAAAUUAUAACAUAAGAUUGUCAUUCUUAAAUUACUAAGAGUGUUUUUU
rnacentral:tRNA from 1 species